rnacentral:rRNA from 1 species
CCUACGGGAGGCAGCAGUGGGGAAUAUUGGACAAUGGGCGAAAGCCUGAUCCAGCAAUUCCGCGUGUGUGAAGAAGGCCUUCGGGUUGUAAAGCACUUUAGUGGGGGAAGAAACAGCUUGGCCACACCAAGCCUUGACGGUACCCCAAGAAUAAGCACCGGCUAACUCUGUGCCAGCAGCCGCGGUAAUACAGAGGGUGCAAGCGUUAAUCGGAUUUACUGGGCGUAAAGGGUGCGUAGGUGGCUAUUUAAGUCGGAUGUGAAAGCCCGGGGCUCAACCUCGGAAUUGCAUUCGAUACUGAGUGGCUAGAGUUCGGUAGAGGGCGGCGGAAUUUCCGGUGUAGCGGUGAAAUGCGUAGAUAUCGGAAGGAACAUCAAUGGCGAAGGCAGCCGCCUGGGCCUGGACUGACACUGAGGCACGAAAGCGUGGGUAGCAAACAGGAUUAGAUACCCUGGUAGUCCACGCCGUAAACGAUGAGAACUUGACGUUGGUUCGUUUUACGAAUCGGUGUCGCNGCUACGCGAUAAGUUACCGUCCGUCCGUGGGACGGUACGGCCGACGAGGUACGUAACGUAAGUAGAGUAGNGNGAGAGACGACGACGACGACGACGAGAGGGAG